rnacentral:rRNA from 1 species
GGUUAAGUGACUAAGCGUACACGGUGGAUGCCUUGGCAGUCAGAGGCGAUGAAAGACGUAGUAACUUGCGAUAAGCCCAGAUUAGGUAGUAACAACCAUUUGAGUCUGGGAUUUCUGAAUGGGGAAACCCACGUGCAUAAGCACGUAUCCUUACCUGAAUACAUAGGGUAAGGAGGCGAACCGGGGGAACUGAAACAUCUAAGUACCCCGAGGAAAAGAAAUCAACCGAGAUUCCGAAAGUAGCGGCGAGCGAAAUUGGACUAGCCCUUAAGCUUUACACGCGUUAGACGAACGGUCUGGAAAGUCCGACGAUACAGGGUGAUAGUCCCGUAGUUGACGACGUGUGUUCAGUGAAAUCGAGUAGGGCGGGACACGUGAUAUCCUGUCUGAAUAUGGGGGGACCAUCCUCCAAGGCUAAAUACUACUGACUGACCGAUAGUGAACCAGUACCGUGAGGGAAAGGCGAAAAGAACCCCUGUGAGGGGAGUGAAAUAGAACCUGAAACCGUGUACGUACAAGCAGUAGGAGCAGGCUUUGUCCUGUGACUGCGUACCUUUUGUAUAAUGGGUCAGCGACUUAUAUUCAGUGGCAAGGUUAACCAUCUAGGGGAGCCGUAGGGAAACCGAGUCUUAACUGGGCGUUCAGUCUCUGGAUAUAGACCCGAAACCAGGUGAUCUAGCCAUGGGCAGGUUGAAGGUUGAGUAACAUCAACUGGAGGACCGAACCGACUAAUGUUGAAAAAUUAGCGGAUGACUUGUGGCUAGGGGUGAAAGGCCAAUCAAACCUGGAGAUAGCUGGUUCUCCCCGAAAGCUAUUUAGGUAGCGCCUCGGACGAAUACUACUGGGGGUAGAGCACUGUUAAGGCUAGGGGGUCAUCCCGACUUACCAACCCUUUGCAAACUCCGAAUACCAGUAAGUACUAUCCGGGAGACACACGGCGGGUGCUAACGUCCGUCGUGGAGAGGGAAACAACCCAGACCGCCAGCUAAGGUCCCAAAUUACUACUAAGUGGGAAACGAUGUGGGAAGGCUCAGACAGCCAGGAUGUUGGCUUAGAAGCAGCCAUCAUUUAAAGAAAGCGUAAUAGCUCACUGGUCGAGUCGGCCUGCGCGGAAGAUGUAACGGGGCUAAGUAGUAAACCGAAGCUGCGGCAAUGUGCUUUUGCACAUUGGGUAGGGGAGCGUUCUGUAAGCGGUUGAAGGUGUGUGGUAACGCAUGCUGGACGUAUCAGAAGUGCGAAUGCUGACAUGAGUAACGAUAAAGGGGGUGAAAAACCUCCUCGCCGGAAGACCAAGGGUUCCUGUCCAACGUUAAUCGGGGCAGGGUAAGUCGACCCCUAAGGCGAGGCCGAAAGGCGUAGUCGAUGGGAAACGGGUUAAUAUUCCCGUACUUCUUACAAUUGCGAUGGGGGGACGGAGAAGGCUAGGUGGGCCUGGCGACGGUUGUCCAGGUUCAAGUGCGUAGGCUUGAGAGUUAGGUAAAUCCGGCUCUCUCUAAGGCUGAGACACGACGUCGAGCACCUACGGGUGUGAAGUCAUUGAUGCCAUGCUUCCAGGAAAAGCCUCUAAGCUUCAGAUUGUAAGGAAUCGUACCCCAAACCGACACAGGUGGUCGGGUAGAGAAUACCAAGGCGCUUGAGAGAACUCGGGUGAAGGAACUAGGCAAAAUGGUACCGUAACUUCGGGAGAAGGUAC